GCAGCAGGGGUGCGCGCACACUCGCCUCGCUCUUCCACCUGCCCUCCUCGACCCUCGGGGCGCUGGCGGGGACGAGGAGGGGCCUCCCUCUGGCGGGUGCGAAUUCUGCGAACUGGAAACCUGGUGCGCGCCAGAGCCCGGCCCAGGCGAAACUCUGGGCAGCGGUCUCGGCUCCGAAUAGUGACUCGGAGGCGUGGAGUGUUGGGCGCUGACGGGGUUCGGGCCUCGGCGGUCGCGUCAGAGGGACUGACUUUAGGUCUGGGCCAUCCUAUCCAGGUCUGGAGUUUUGGCAAGAAGUCCAUGUGCAGGGCCUUGGGAACUGUUUUGCAAGUGUAUCCUGGGAUUUUGUAAUCAACAGGUCAGUAUACGUCCAUACCAUCCUAAAUGCACCCAAUCUGGUCUGUAAUCGACAGGUCAUGCCUACCUCCCCAGGCAGUCUGCCAUGCCCUGAUCUCCUGCCUCAAAAACCACACUUUAACAUCCAUUAACUAUUAAUAUUGACCCAUACAACCAUUCUGUUCCUCAUUUUCAAUACAUGCUCAAUGAAUUUUGUGAUUCUUCGAUAUAGUUAACACUUUAUAGUAAAAUAGACCUGUGCUACAUGAUUUAGUUCAACUAUAGACCAAUGCCAGGGUCUGAGGACUUUUUUUUUGUUUCAGUAAUGGAGAUUGAAUCCAAGGCUUUUGCACUGAACUCCAACCUCGGUCCUUUUUAUUUUUUACUCUGAGACUGGGUCUUCCUAAAUCACUACUGGUAAGUUGCCCAGGUUAGGCUGGAACUUGCAGUCCUCCUGCCUCAGUCUCCCAGAGAGCUGCGAUUAUAAAUAUGGACCACUACACCCAGCUGUGUCUGAGUACAUUCAAGCUGAGCUAUGCUAAACUGCCAUGCUCAAUGGGUUAGGUGUAUCAAAGGCAUUUUGACUUAGGAUAUUUUCAGCUUUCAACUUGGGAUGGGCUUGUCAGGCUGCACCAUCAUGAGUGGAGUGGAGAAUCAUUAAUAGUUACUAACUCCAGCUCACGAAUGUGGAAUCUGAGACUUCCAUCACUUUUUCAAGCCUGUUUUGUCUGACUGCAGACACUGUUCUGACCUGAGAAGAAGCUCUUUAGAGAGCCUGUGAAGACCUG
rnacentral:lncRNA from 1 species